rnacentral:tRNA from 1 species
UGGCUCAGUAGGUGGAGCAUGUGCCUUAAAAGCACAAGGACCUGAGUUUGAUCCCCAG